rnacentral:misc_RNA from 1 species
GAAAUGCGAUAAGUAAUGUGAAUUGCAGAAUUCCGUGAAUCAUCGAAUCUUUGAACGCACAUUGCACCCUCUGGCAUUCCGGGGGGCAUGCCUGUCCGAGCGUCAUUACGCACCCUCAAGCCCGGCUUGUGUGAUGGGCGUCUUGUCGGAAUAUCCGACUCGCCUUAAAUACAUUGGCAGCCGGCACUUUGGCCUAGGAGCGCAGCACAUUUUGCGAUCGUAAGCCGUUGUGACAGCAUCCAUAAGAUUUAUUUUACCACGUUUGACCUCGGAUCAGGUAGGGAUACCCGCUGAACUUAAGC